rnacentral:rRNA from 1 species
UGAAGCGGCAACAGCUCAAAUUUGAAAUCUGGCGUCUUCGGCGCCCGAGUUGUAAUUUGUAGAGGAUGCUUCUGGGUAGCCACCGGUCUAAGUUCCUUGGAACAGGACGUCACAGAGGGUGAGAAUCCCGUAUGUGACCGGCCAGGCACCCUGUACGUAGCUCCUUCGACGAGUCGAGUUGUUUGGGAAUGCAGCUCUAAAUGGGAGGUAAAUUCCUUCUAAAGCUAAAUACCGGCCAGAGACCGAUAGCGCACAAGUAGAGUGAUCGAAAGAUGAAAAGCACUUUGGAAAGAGAGUUAAAAAGCACGUGAAAUUGUUGAAAGGGAAGCGCUUGCAACCAGACUUGUUAUCGGUGUUCCGCCGGUCUUCUGACCGGUCUACUCAUCGUUUGCAGGCCAGCAUCACCUGGGACCGCCGGACAAAGGCUUUGGGAAUGUAGCUCCCCUCGGGGAGUGUUAUAGCCCUUUGCACAAUACGGUGCGACCCGGGUGAGGUCCGCGCUUCGGCUAGGAUGCUGGCGUAAUGGUUGUAAGCGGCCCGUCUUGAAACACGGACCAAGGAGUCUACCAUCUAUGCGAGUGUUCGGGUGUCAAACCCCUACGCGCAAUGAAAGUGAACGGAGGUGGGAACUUUUGUGCACCAUCGACCGAUCCUGAUGUCUUCGGAUGGAUUUGAGUAAGAGCAUAGCUGGUGGGACCCGAAAGAUGGUGAACUAUGCCUGAAUAGGGUGAAGCCAGAGGAAACUCUGGUGAGGCUCGCAGCGGUUCUGACGUGCAAAUCGAUUCGUCAAAUUUGGGUAUAGGG